rnacentral:rRNA from 1 species
AUUGAACGCUGGCGGCAGGCCUAACACAUGCAAGUCGAGCGGAUGAAGGGAGCUUGCUCCUGGAUUCAGCGGCGGACGGGUGAGUAAUGCCUAGGAAUCUGCCUGGUAGUGGGGGAUAACGUCCGGAAACGGGCGCUAAUACCGCAUACGUCCUGAGGGAGAAAGUGGGGGAUCUUCGGACCUCACGCUAUCAGAUGAGCCUAGGUCGGAUUAGCUAGUUGGUGGGGUAAAGGCCUACCAAGGCGACGAUCCGUAACUGGUCUGAGAGGAUGAUAAGUCACACUGGAACUGAGACACGGUCCAGACUCCUACGGGAGGCAGCAGUGGGGAAUAUUGGACAAUGGGCGAAAGCCUGAUCCAGCCAUGCCGCGUGUGUGAAGAAGGUCUUCGGAUUGUAAAGCACUUUAAGUUGGGAGGAAGGGCAGUAAGUUAAUACCUUGCUGUUUUGACGUUACCAACAGAAUAAGCACCGGCUAACUUCGUG